rnacentral:rRNA from 1 species
AGAACGAACGCUGGCGGCAUGCCUAACACAUGCAAGUCGAACGAGACCUUCGGGUCUAGUGGCGCACGGGUGCGUAACGCGUGGGAAUCUGCCCUAUGGUUCGGAAUAACAGUUAGAAAUGACUGCUAAUACCGGAUAAUGUCUUCGGACCAAAGAUUUAUCGCCAAAGGAUGAGCCCGCGUAAGAUUAGCUAGUUGGUAGGGUAAAAGCCUACCAAGGCGACGAUCUUUAGCUGGUCUGAGAGGAUGAUCAGCCACACUGGGACUGAGACACGGCCCAGACUCCUACGGGAGGCAGCAGUGGGGAAUAUUGGACAAUGGGCGAAAGCCUGAUCCAGCAAUGCCGCGUGAGUGAUGAAGGCCUUAGGUUGUAAAGCUCUUUACCGGGAUGAUAAUGACAGUACCGGAGAAUAAGCCCCGGCUAACGUCCGUGCCAGCAGCCGC